GAUCAUGGCUCAGGACGAACGCUGGCGGCGCGCCUAACACAUGCAAGUCGAACGAGAGAGAAGGAGCUUGCUUCUUCGAUCGAGUGGCGAACGGGUGAGUAACGCGUGAGGAACCUGCCUCAAAGAGGGGGACAACAGUUGGAAACGACUGCUAAUACCGCAUAAGCCCACGGGUCGGCAUCGACCUGAGGGAAAAGGAGCAAUCCGCUUUGAGAUGGCCUCGCGUCCGAUUAGCUUAGG
rnacentral:rRNA from 1 species